rnacentral:tmRNA from 1 species
GGGGAUGUUUUGUUUCGAUAGCAAUAUCGCCCUGACCUGCAGCAAGCCGAGGCGGCCACGAUCCUCGUACUCUCUCCGUGGCAACCCAUAAGUGUAAGCAACUUUACCGCAAAACUUCGAACUGCCUUUGGCAGCUUCGCCUUUGCACCAGCAGUCGCCUAACGGCCACUGCCAUCACCCGCGGCAAUACCUAGUAGUCGCAUCGGUGGUGUCAUAUCACUAGGUCUGACCGUCGUUCCGCUCGAGGCGACGUCAUCAGGCUUUUCGAGCACCUCACUGCAGUGUUUUGCUUUUUUUAAGCUGCAGCUGAGUACUUAAAAAAGUAAAGCUUGUAUACCUGCUGUCGGAGCCGUUGUUAGACAGGAGUUCAUUGCUCCUCAUCUCCACCU